rnacentral:rRNA from 1 species
UGAGGAAUAUUGGUCAAUGGUCGAGAGACUGAACCAGCCAAGUCGCGUGAAGGAUGACUGCCCUAUGGGUUGUAAACUUCUUUUACAAGGGAAUAAAAUGAGAUACGUGUAUUUUAUUGCAUGUACCUUGGGAAUAAGCAUCGGCUAACUCCGUGCCAGCAGCCGCGGUAAUACGGAGGAUGCGAGCGUUAUCCGGAUUUAUUGGGUUUAAAGGGUGCGUAGGUGGGCUGUUAAGUCAGCGGUGAAAGUUUGUCGCUUAACGAUAAAAUUGCCGUUGAAACUGGUAGUCUUGAGUAUAGAUGAAGUAGGCGGAAUGCGUGGUGUAGAGGUGAAAUGCAUAGAGAUCACGCAGAACUCCGAUUGCGAAGGCAGCUUACUAAGGUAUAACUGACACUGAAGCACGAAAGCAUGGGUAUCAAACAGG